GCUGAAGCAGGAAUUCGGUGGGAUGUGCCUUGUUUUAUAGGGAGACACCUACAAAACAAAAUCCCUUGGGAGAGGGACAAGGACAGGGCGGGGCUCAGGGGGAACCAGGAAUGUUCUGUGCUAACCCUUGUGUUGGGAACACCAACGCAGGGGAGCUGCCUGGCCAGAAUCCCUGUCCGGGCCUCCUGAGCUGGAAGGGCAGUGUCCUGAGGUCGUGUCCCCAGCUUUGCCCCUCCAUGUCCGGGCACAGGUGGAGUCCCUGACGUUCGGGGCGGUGCAGCCGCCCCGGCACGGGCUGAUGGAGCGCAGCGGCCGCGGGCAGCGUCCUCUGCAGGCCACCACCUUCACCAGGGAUGACAUCACAUCUACCAGAAGCGCGGCAGCUGCAGGCACGGCGGCGGCAGCGCGCUCAGGGACCGCUUCACCCUCACCGUCUCCGACGGCACCAGCCCCCUCUUCGUGGUGCAGGAGGGAGGGAAGAAGGUGGUGACGGCAGCACCGCAGCGCUUCCAGGUGGACAUCCUCCCUGUGGAUGACGGGACACCCAGGGUGGUCACCAACCUGGGCCUGCAGUGACUGGAGUACACGGAUGGCAAGGUAACAGCUGCCUGGCCUCAGCUUGGGCUGCUUCUCAGGCUGCUCCAGGAGAAGGGGCUUCGCAGGAGAGCAUCCUCAUCCUUCAGCACUUUGAUUUUUGGGAUGGAGAAUACCCUCCCCAGGGUACAUUUUUAGCUUUGCUGACGGUGGAGAUGUCUUGAUGAUGUGCGGCAGAGAUAGAUGGCUUUCCAAGGAUACGGUGCAGGAGUUUCUUGCUGUGAAACAAAUGCCUUUGUUGUGCUGAAAUCCAAACAAAACCCCAUAAAACUCUCAGCUUGUUUCUGAGGAGCCAGCACUAACUGUAAAGCAACACUUUGGUUCUUCCCAGAAAAAAAUGAGUGGAAAACGCUGUAGUAAGAAAUUGCAUUAAGAAAUGGCUAUCUCAGCUCAAACUCCUCACUUCAGGAAAAGCACUCCUGCUCCUCGAGCAGCUCAAUUUUCUCUCUUUCUCCUGCUGUCAAAAACAUUCUGCUUUUGAAGAGAAAGCAAAAUGUGGUAGAACUGAAUCAGAUCCACCUGAGGGCAUUUGAAAAGUGCUCUCCUGGAGGCUCUCCAAGGCUGUGCGAACUGUCUUGAGUGAGUCCUUCAAUCUGAGGCUGUUUGCAGAUGUUUUAUUGCCAAGCAGGGCCUCACCUGAGCGUCAGCACAGCUCGUGGAACAGAACUUUCUAAGUUAAACCCAAAGAUUUGUCCUAGCUUUUAGCCCCAGCUAAAUAAGGCUGGGCAGCUGCUUUGGAAUUUGCUUUUCUUUGAGCCACAUCUGUCUUCUUAAUUAAACUAAACCUGGCUUAAUUAAACCAGAUGCGAGGCAAAAUUUGAAUCUUUGUUGUGUUGUCAAACACGUUGUGGGAUAUCUCAGUUCAAGGCCGCUCUGUGCUUUCACAUCCCUAGAUUUUCCCUUUGUCUGUUUUAACAGAGGGAUGGUCGGGCUUUUUGUGUGAACAGUCAAUCAGACUUGCACUGCUGGAGCUUCAGUUUGACUCCCUUGGUUUUGGCUUUAAUCCA